CUCCAUUUUAGGGCUACCGUAGUUCAUAUAUGAAAAAGUAACACUUCUUUUACUUUUUAAUUUUAGGACCUCCCUUAACUUGGCAAACAUACAAGGUCAUAACUAAAGGGUGUAUACGUCAUGGAAAUUUUCCUGACUUAGUUCAAGAUGGCAUCUUAAAGUCUGGACAUCUUUAUCUACUUAAGGUUACCACAGUAUAUUACGUACUGAAAGAG